UGAUGAAAUAUUUCCAAGUAUUGGCGCCGCUGGAUGCCUCAAUGACGAUCGAGUUUGGAGUGUGCGAUUUCAGGUUCCUGCACCCAAAAUAGUCACCAAAGAGUCUCGGGUGGAUCUUCAAUGCAGUCACGAUGACGGCAGCCAGGACAUAAUGCUGUGGUACCACCAAGGCAAGGGCAGUCGUCUCAUUAACCUAAUCGGGUCCAGCUACAUCGGCAACAAGCCCAUCUACAAGGAGCAAGACGAUCGCUUCGAAAUAACAAGAGAGGACACGCAAAGCGGCUCUCUCAGCAUUCACAGAGUCAAAUUGUCAGACGCAGAACGAAGCCAUUUUGUCAGGGCGCCUGCAGUCACCUUGCUAGCAUCUUCUCCCGAGGAGUGUCCCAACCAGCAGGACGAGGGCAAGAGGAAGAAGACACUAGUGUGUGUGGUUACUGGCUUCUUCCCGGACCAAGUGGGUGUCUCUUGGCAGAUUGAUGGCGGCACCGUCACAGAUGGCGUGGCGACGGACGGUGAUGCCCUGCAGGACGACGCCUUCUACAAGAUGAGCAGCAGGCUGAGGGUGGAGGCGGACACGUGGUUCAAACCUGGCAGGACCUUCACCUGCAUCGUCAGUUUCUUUAACGGGAACCAGACCAGCUUUCAUUCCGAUACCGUUUACGGCACUGAAGACACAGUGACAAGAGAGCAAUAUUUGAGGGUGUCUCAGAGAGCCAAACUGUCCUACACCGUCCUGUUGGUGAAGAGCAGCAUCUACACAGCUUUUGUUGCCUUCUUGCUGUGGAAGCGCCAGGUUGCUUCUCCUCCUGUUACUACUUUGGGUGCAGUUUGCAUGUUGGCCUCACAGUCUGGAGACUGAGGGUUUGGAUCUCUGCCUGGGAAUUUUUUCUAUUUUUUGUUUCAGGGUUGGACCACGACAAAGCAGAGUACUUCCCGAGGCCACCAUGAUGGACCUCUGUGUGUCCAAUAAAGCGCUUUAACAUAGCAGUUUGACAUGAGUUCUGCACUUUUUGUUGUUUAUGUCAU